rnacentral:rRNA from 1 species
UACGAAGGGUGCAAGCGUUACUCGGAAUUACUGGGCGUAAAGCGUGCGUAGGUGGUUUUUUAAGUCCGUUGUGAAAGCCCUGGGCUGAACCUGGGAAUGGCAGUGGAUACUGGAAAGCUAGAGUGCGGUAGAGGGUAGUGGAAUUCCCGGUGUAGCAGUGAAAUGCGUAGAGAUCGGGAGGAACACCAGUGGCGAAGGCGGCUACCUGGACCAGCACUGACACUGAGGCACGAAAGCGUGGGGAGCAAACAGG